GUGAAAGUCGAUGGCGAAAGCUUCUCUGUUUUGGAUGAGUAAAGCGAGGAUUUUUCUGUCUGGAGUCCAGAGCUUGUGAGCGAUGCGCUGAGCUUGUCAAGCGAGAAAGCCUUUGAAGCUUAGGAAGCAAUGGACGUAGCUUAAGCAAGCUGGGUGUUUUUCCUUUGCUGCUAUUAGGUCUCGCUUCACCGACUCCACCAUCUCUGGGCUUUCUUUUAAAACGUUGAUGGGUAUUAGUUCUUCAAGUGAGGAAUUCUUCAAAGAAGUUGGCCAAGUUGUUGACGUCAGAAUUGGUAUGUCAAACGAUGGUGAUGGCAGAUUCCUUUGCUUUGGCAUGGUUGAGUUUGCAACUCCCAGAGAAGCACAGAAGGUUGAUUGCUGAUUUAACCCAUGCACUGGAAUUUCACGGUAGACCUUUGCUCGGUCGUCAAAUGCGUCUUGAGGUUUCUCAACAGAGGGGACAAAGACACACUUA